ACACGGGGGGUGCGAGCGUUGUUCGGAAUCACUGGGCGUAAAGCGCGUGUAGGCGGAAUAUUAAGUCAGAUGUGAAAGCCCACGGCUCAACCGUGGAACUGCAUUUGAAACUGGUAUUCUAGAGUGCAGGAGAGGGAAGGGGAAUUCCCGGUGUAGAGGUGAAAUUCGUAGAUAUCGGGAGGAAUACCGGUGGCGAAGGCGCCUUCCUGGACUGACACUGACGCUGAGACGCGAAAGCGUGGGUAGCAAACAGGAUUAGAAACCCCGGUAGUCC
rnacentral:rRNA from 1 species